UUGAAUAUCUGAAAAGUUCAUAUAAGCUUCCUAUGAAAAGCUGGCUAUAACAGCUUUUCUGAAAUCGGUGAGAGGAGAGUGUUAUAAAUUAUCUUAGAAGAAUGUGUAACAAAAAAAGAUGCAGAUAUUGAGAUUUUUCAAAAAAAACUUUUUUUACUUCUGUUUUCACUUUGAGCUUGAGAUUAACUUUGUACGUCAAACCACAAAAUUUAAACUAACAUCAACUUAGCUUGGAAUGAUUUCUGAACUUACAGUAUUUGACAAGCAAACUUUUCCUUUCUUGGGCUUGGAUGGGUGAAGUAAUUUAGUCGAACAUACAAUUGUUCAAUAAUGUUCUGGGAAACUUUCAAGUUGCCUAGCAUGUUCUGGGAAACUUACAAGUUACCAAGCAUGUACUGAGUUUGUCUGGUACAGAUUUAUCCCGGCACCUGGGACCCUUCUGCAUCAACUGUGAGCCUGUAAGCUUCCAACCAACUAAACCUGUUGCAGUUCUUCCACUACUGCCCAACACCUGAGUACCUGACAUACUUGCCAUACUCAGUGCCCGGGACUGCACAUGGAGCGUAUUCAAUGUCAUAGCAUGUACAAGGUAUAUGAAUCGCCGCAUUAUGAAACUGUGUAGAGGAUGGGCACAGGGUUCAUGGACCCACUUUGCAUUUCGCCUAGUAGAGGUCCAAGUGUUGAAUCAGACGGCCUAGAACAUGCAGUGUACUCAUUGCUGAGCGAUUCACCCUGAUGAGCUUUGGUGGUGGUGGGGGUACAUGCAUGUGCUUAGUUAAUGCCUUAAUGGCGAUGCCAUCUUCCCUCCAUACAGCCUCCAGCUCUCAUUUAUGCAACUAUACAAGUAGAUGUUUUCUUGCAGGACCCAUGGAUCUCAGAGCAGCCAAAGACUGGACACCAGAAUACUACUUCUUCCAACAAAGCAACAAUCAUAGGACUUCGGCAAUCGGCACUGGGAACAUCUGAAGCCGGUGAUAGGUAGACAGGCAGUAUGGGAAGAGCAGAACGCAACAUCAGCCUUCAGCCCCAUGAUGGAUGCUCAUCUUCAGAGAGAUGUCCAAUCACCGUCGCAUGUUUGCGGUUCUAGACCCAAGCAGAUGUGACCAUUCUCAAUGGCUAUCCAUAGAUAUCAUCCCCUUGUGUUGUGUAGGAUGAAGUCAUAUGGACUUGGAUGGAGAUGGAGUUAGUGCAGCUGCAAGCUUAACUGAAGCCAUCACCUAAGCUGGUGCCAUGUCAUUUUCCAUAGUCUGGGCAUAGAAAAAAGAGAAAAUUGGUUCUGUAGCAUUGAAAGAUGUCGACUUCCGUAAAAUACCAUCGAAAGAGUUCGGCCCCGUAAAAUACCACUGAAAGCUACUACCGUUACCGGAAAAUCGCACUCCGCUAGAUUUUGUUCCUAGAAACCUUUUGGUCUGCUGUUUUCAGAACAUUACACGGCAGCGAAUUGACCUAUCUACCCCUGGCUCGCUUCUUGCCUUAUCCAGACUCGUCUCUCCCCCACAGCCCUGACCUCGCCUCUCCCCCACCCAGGGCCGCCGCCCCCUGUGCCCCCCAUGCCCCACCGGCCGGCGACGCUUCGCCCCCACCAAGCGCCGACGUCCCUGCGCCCCACGCAGUGCGCCACUCCUGCUCUCCCCACGCCCCUCCGGCCAGCGACGCAGCCGCCCCUCGCGCCCAUCCCCUAGCGACGGCCGGCGCCCCCACCAUCA